CCUACGGGUGGCAGCAGUGGGGAAUAUUGCACAAUGGGGGAAACCCUGAUGCAGCGACGCCGCGUGAGUGAAGAAGUAAUUCGUUACGUAAAGCUCUAUCAGCAGGGAAGAAACACUGACCUUACGGUCAGCAGACGGUACCUGAGUAAGAAGCCCCGGCUAACUACGUGCCAGCAGCCGCGGUAAUACGUAGGGGGAAAGCGUUAUCCGGAUCAACUGGGUGUAAUGGGAGCGUAGACGGUGCGCCAAGUCUGGAGUGAAAUGCCGCAGCUUAACUGCGGAACUGCUUUGGAACCUGGCGAAGUAGAGUGCGGGAGGGGUCAGCGGAAUUCCUAGUGUAGCGGUGAAAUACGUAGAUAUUAGGAGGAACACCGGUGGCUAGGGCGGCUUACUGGACCGUAACUGACGUUGUGGCUCGACAGCGUGUGGAGCAAACAGGAUUAGAUACCCUUGUAGUC
rnacentral:rRNA from 1 species